GCCUCCAUAGCUCAAUUGGAUAGAGUAGCGGCCUUCUAAUCCGUCGGUUGCCGGUUCGAGUCCGGCUGGGGGCA
rnacentral:tRNA from 1 species